rnacentral:tRNA from 1 species
GCGAGGGUGGCGGAAUGGCAGACGCGCUAGCUUGAGGGGCUAGUGGUAGAGAUACCGUAGGGGUUCAAGUCCCCUCUCUCGCA